rnacentral:rRNA from 1 species
GACGAACGCUGGCGGCGUGCUUAACACAUGCAAGUCGAACGGAAAGGCCCUGCUUUUGUGGGGUGCUCGAGUGGCGAACGGGUGAGUAACACGUGAGUAACCUGCCCUUGACUUUGGGAUAACUUCAGGAAACUGGGGCUAAUACCGGAUAGGAGCUCCUGCUGCAUGGUGGGGGUUGGAAAGUUUCGGCGGUUGGGGAUGGACUCGCGGCUUAUCAGCUUGUUGGUGGGGUAGUGGCUUACCAAGGCUUUGACGGGUAGCUGGCCUGAGAGGGUGACCGGCCACGCUGGGACUGAGACACGGCCCAGACUCGGACGGGAGGGAGCAGUGGGGAAUAUUAGACAAUGGGCGAAAGCCUGAUCCAGCCAUGCCGGGUGAGUGAUGAAGGCGUUAGGGUUGUAAAGCUCUUUUAGCCGGGAUGAGAAUGACAGUACCGGGUGAAUAAGCUCCGGCUAACUCCGUG